AGGAUAAACGCUGGCGGCGUGCCUAACACAUGCAAGUCGAACGUCUCUUCUUUCGGGAAGAGGAGUGGCGGACGGGUGAGGAACACGUGGGAACCUGCCCUUUAGUGAGGAAUACCGGCGAGAAAUCGCCGACAAGACCGCAUAGCCCUCUUUGAUGAGAGUCAAAGAAGGAAAGCUUCGCAAGAGGCGCUAGAGGAGGGGCCUGCGUCCGAUUAGCUAGUUGGUGGGGUAAGAGCCUACCAAGGCGUCGAUCGGUAGCUGGUCUGAGAGGACAAUCAGCCACACUGGGAUUGAGAACGGCCCAGACUCCCACGGGGGCAGCAGUGAGGAAUUUUCGGCAAUGGGGGAAACCCUGACCGAGCAACGCCGCGUGCAGGAAGACGGCCUUCGGUUGUAACUGCUUUCUUGGAAGAGGAAGGACGGUACCAGAGGAAUCAGCCCGGCUCACUACGUGCCAGCAGCCGC
rnacentral:rRNA from 1 species